CCUACGGGAGGCAGCAGUGGGGAAUCUUGCACAAUGGAGGAAACUCUGAUGCAGCGAUGCCGCGUGAGUGAAGAAGGCCCUUGGGUUGUAAAGCUCUUUCGUCGGGGAAGAAAAUGACUGUACCCGAAUAAGA
rnacentral:rRNA from 1 species